AGAAGCCCUGUUGAGCGAGAUCGGCCGGUGGGGGCGAGGCAGCUCCUGCUGCUGCAGCAGCGACCGGGUAGCGCCGUCGGGCUCGGGCUCCCCCCUGUCUGAGCCCCCCCACGCGGCACAGGGUCCGGGCCGGCGGAACAGCGCCGGGGCCUCCCCGCUAGGCGCGGGCUCUGGCCCGGCCUCAGCCCCCAAGCGCUCCCGCCAGCCGCGGUGCGGUCAGUAGAGAGACAAGGGCAGCCGGGCCGGAGCAACAGACACGGCGCCUGUGGCCGCAUGCCCGGGCGAGGGGACCGAUUCCCAUCCCACGUCUCAGCCUGAACAGCGGACUGCGCCUUCUUUUGCGAGGGGUCAGGCAGAAAAGCGUGGGAUAGACCCUGGCACCAGCCGUGGAAAGACUCAGGGCUUAGGCGUAUUUCACACCAUAAUAAGCCCCUCUACUCUUAUUCAAGGCUUUUCAUCAUUCGCUCUCCUAAAGGAGUCAGUAUUGUCAUCCCCACUUUACUGGUAGGGAAACUGAGGUACGGUGAGGUAGAGUGAUUUUCCUAAAGUCACCCAGCAGACCUGGUGACCCAGCCAAGGACAGAACCUAGGUGUUUUGAGUCUCUGCUCACUUUCUAUCCACCAGGCCCCACUCCCUUCCUCAGAACGGAACUAAGGUGCAGACGAUUUCCCAUCUGGCAUAGCUUUGUGCUUUAAAAGCAGAAAAAUUCAAGAUGAUCAUGAGAAGUGGAGAGGAAGGAUUGAAUGUGCCCUCAGAGCAAUUCUUCUGUGAUCCAAAGAAAACAUGAAUCGAACAGUUUCUGGCUCCAGAGAGCAGGAGAAUCUCUUCCUUCCUCCAAAAGCCGAC